CCUACGGGUGGCAGCAGUGGGGAAUAUUGCACAAUGGGCGCAAGCCUGAUGCAGCCAUGCCGCGUGUGUGAAGAAGGCCUUCGGGUUGUAAAGCACUUUCAGCGGGGAGGAAGGCGGUUAGGUUAAUAACCUCAUCGAUUGACGUUACCCGCAGAAGAAGCACCGGCUAACUCCGUGCCAGCAGCCGCGGUAAUACGGAGGGUGCGAGCGUUAAUCGGAAUUACUGGGCGUAAAGCGCACGCAGGCGGUCUGUCAAGUCGGAUGUGAAAUCCCCGGGCUCAACCUGGGAACUGCAUUCGAAACUGGCAGGCUAGAGUCUUGUAGAGGGGGGUAGAAUUCCAGGUGUAGCGGUGAAAUGCGUAGAGAUCUGGAGGAAUACCGGUGGCGAAGGCGGCCCCCUGGACAAAGACUGACGCUCAGGUGCGAAAGCGUGGGGAGCAAACAGGAUUAGAUACCCGGGUAGUC
rnacentral:rRNA from 1 species